rnacentral:rRNA from 1 species
ACCUGAUCAGCCAUGCCGCGUGUGUGAGAAGGCCUUUUGGUUGUAAGCACUUUAACCAGUGAAGAAAAUUCCAUGGUYARUACCCGGAGMCSAUGACAUUAKCUGCAGAAUARGCACCGGCUAACUCUGUGCCAGCAGCCGCGGUAAUACAGAKGGUGCAAGCGUUAAUCGGAAUUACUGGGCGUAAAGCGAGCGUAGGUGSCUUGAUAAGUCAKAUGUGAAAUCCCCGGGCUUAACCUGGGAACUGCAUCUGAAACUGUUAGGCUAGAGUAGGUGAGAGGGAAGUAGAAUUUCAGGUGUAGCGGUGAAAUGUGUAGAGAUCUGAAGGAAUCCCCAUGGCGAAGGCAGCUUCCUGGCAUCAUACUGACACUGAGGCUCGAAAGCGUGGGUAGCAAACAGGAUUAGAUACCCUGGUAGUCCACGCCGUAAACGAUGUCGACUAGUCGUUGGGUCCCUUAAGGACUUAGUGACGCAG